rnacentral:rRNA from 1 species
CCGGGGAAACCCGGAUUAAUACCGCAUACGUCCUACGGGAGAAAGCAGGGGACCUUCGGGCCUUGCGCUAUCAGAUGAGCCUAGGUCGGAUUAGCUAGUUGGUGAGGUAAUGGCUCACCAAGGCGACGAUCCGUAACUGGUCUGAGAGGAUGAUCAGUCACACUGGAACUGAGACACGGUCCAGACUCCUACGGGAGGCAGCAGUGGGGAAUAUUGCACAAUGGGCGCAAGCCUGAUGCAGCCAUGCCGCGUGUAUGAAGAAGGCCUUCGGGUUGUAAAGCACUUUCAGCGAGGAGGAAGGCCUUAAAGUUAAUACCUUUGAGGAUUGACGUUACUCGCAGAAGAAGCACCGGCUAACUCCGUGCCAG